GACGAACGCUGGCGGCGUGCCUAAUACAUGCAAGUAGAACGCACAGUUUAUACCGUAGCUUGCUACACCAUAGACUGUGAGUUGCGAACGGGUGAGUAACGCGUAGGUAACCUGCCUGGUAGCGGGGGAUAACUAUUGGAAACGAUAGCUAAUACCGCAUAAUAUUAAUUAUUGCAUGAUAAUUAAUUGAAAGGUGCAAUUGCACCACUACCAGAUGGACCUGCGUUGUAUUAGCUAGUAGGUGAGGUAACGGCUCACCUAGGCGACGAUACAUAGCCGACCUGAGAGGGUGAUCGGCCACACUGGGACUGAGACACGGUCCAGACUCCUACGGGAGGCAGCAGUAGGGAAUCUUCGGCAAUGGACGAAAGUCUGACCGAGCAACGCCGCGUGAGUGAAGAAGGUUUUCGGAUCGUAAAGCUCUGUUGUAAGAGAAGAACGGGUGUGAGAGUGGAAAGUUCACACUGUGACGGUAUCUUACCAGAAAGGGACGGCUAACUACGU
rnacentral:rRNA from 1 species